rnacentral:miRNA from 1 species
ACUCUGGAUAAGGCAUUCUAUU